UUUUUGGCUUUAAAACCAUAGAUUAAGCCCCCAACCUCUCCUGAGGGUCGCUUUACACAAGUACUUUCUGUUGGAAUUGGAGGUUCUGCCCUUGGACCACAGUUUGUUGCAGAGGCGUUGGCUCCUGAUAAUCCUCCUCUCAAGAUAAGGUUCAUUGACAAUACAGAUCCAGCUGGCAUUGAUCAUCAGAUUGCACAGCUUGGCCCUGAGUUGGCUUCUACGCUUGUAAUAGUUAUAUCAAAGAGUGGAGGCACUCCAGAAACAAGAAAUGGUUUAUUGGAAGUACAAAAAGCAUUCCGUGAAGCUGGCCUGGAUUUUGCAAAACAGGGUGUCGCAAUUACACAAGAGAAUUCAUUAUUAGAUAACACUGCAAGAAUUGAGGGAUGGUUAGCUAGAUUUCCAAUGUUUGACUGGAUUUUGAAUAUUUUGAGUUGAUUUUUUUCCUGAUAUAUUUGGUGGUCAGGUUUCCUAUGUCUUUAGAAAGCCUGAAGUUUCAGAUAUUGUGAUAUUUAAGGUGCCUCCAAUUCUUCAGGUGUGUUUCUCAUCUUCAAAGUAACAAAUAAAA